rnacentral:rRNA from 1 species
UACAGAGGUCCCAAGCGUUGUUCGGAUUCAUUGGGCGUAAAGGGUGCGUAGGCGGCGCGGUAAGUCGGGUGUGAAAUCUCGGGGCUUAACUCCGAAACUGCAUUCGAUACUGCCGUGCUUGAGGACUGGAGAGGCGCGUGGAAUUGCAGGUGUAGCGGUGAAAUGCGUAGAUAUCUGCAGGAACACCCGUGGCGAAAGCGGCGCGCUGGACCACUACUGACGCUGAGGAACGAAAGCUAGGGGAGCAAACAGG